rnacentral:rRNA from 1 species
UACGUAGGGGGCGAGCGUUAUUCGGAUUUACUGGGCGUAAAGCGCGUGUAGGCGGCUGGUUAAGCGUAAUGUGAAAUCUCCGGGCUCAACCCGGAAACUGCAUUGCGAACUGGCCUGGCUGGAGUGCAGGAGAGGGUAGUGGAAUUCCCGGUGUAGCGGUGAAAUGCGCAGAUAUCAGGAAGAACACCCGUGGCGAAGGCGGCCAGCUGGGCUGUUGCUGACGCUGAUGCGCGACAGCGUGGGGAGCAAACAGG